rnacentral:tRNA from 1 species
GGACAGGUCGCAUAGCGGCAAUUGCAGCGGACUGUAAAUCCGCCGACUUUUUGGUCUACGUUGGUUUGAAUCCAACCCUGUCCA